CUCCAGAGGAGUUGUAGUUACAGGUAUCUGUCUCUCCUCUGUUGUCCAGGCCCUUGUCCUGCAGUCUCCCAACCAGAUCCUGAGGGCAGCCUGUGGUUCACUCAAGGUUUUCAGGAACAUCAAAGCCCAGCUCCACGAUCAUCUGCAGCACACGGGAGAGGCUGUAGAGCGGCACUCCUCACAAGCUAAGUACAUGUGAGGAUCUUUCUCCACCUUUCUCUGCCAAGACAUCUGCAGGAAUCUUUCAGGACAUCUGCUGCUCACCUGUCAGCUGCGAUCUGAGUUUGACCUGAAGGGCAAACUUCCCGCUCCAUGCCCCGACUUGCCCAUCUUUGUGUGUCAGCCUUGUCACGUGUUGCUGCACGGGCCGUGCUUUGUGUGGACAGAGGUGUUACAGGAGUCUUAGGAAAGCUGAGGAUGGAAGUUCACUGCCAUGUAGACCCCGGGAAGAGGGGAAGAAGAAGAGCAGCAAGAGGUUAG
rnacentral:lncRNA from 13 species